AAUUCUGACCAUAAUCUUGGUGACAUUAAUGUAGCCACACUGACACAUUACAAACAGAAUAAAGAUUGUGAUGCUUCAAUAACAUUUUUAUCAUAAAAGAGUGGAAAUAGAGAGUUGUGUGGUAUGGCUGCUAAUCUACUUGCAUGUUGCAUGGGAACAUAUUUUUUGUUUACCAUUUUAAUUUUACAAAUUUACAUUGUUAUUCUUUGUAUGCGCAUAAACAUUAUUUUACCAUACAAUUCCUGGAAUUUCCCCCAUAAUAUCUUGUGUUGUUAAGCUUCAUCGCCAAUAUAUUUGUUUACACAAAGACCAUGUAUUUUAUGAAGGCAUAAUUGAUUGAAAUAAUGUUGAAAGGAACCUGAAUUUAAGAUAAAUGGCUUUGUUAAAGUUCAUGUGAUAUUAUGAAUUGUAAUGUUUAUGUCAGACGGUGAUAUAUGCAGCAAUGAACACCCUAUUCUAUGUUUACUGUGAUGUUUCAAUCAUGUUCCUGAGCUCUGUGCACAGAACUUGCUCUGUAAUUACAGAUCUAUAUUUUCCUUGCAUUCCUUCAUACCUUGCACACAAUGUACUUAUAGGUCAGUUGCAUGUGAGCAGUUUGUUUAUAAACUCUAUUUUUAAAUAUGAAAAAUGACCAUUGAUAGACAAGUUUACUAUUGUACUUAUGAAUAAAAUUAUAUUUCAUACCAGUUGGAAAUUUACAUUCCAUUACUUAAAAGUGUGAUACCAUUUACUGGUUGUGAUAGAACCAUUAACAGCAGGCAGUUUUGUGCCUUAUAUAUUUUCCUAACUGCAUUGUCUGAGAAUACAGAGUAACUUGUAAUGCGUACAAUUAGCUGAUCUCUUUGUGUGAUUCUACUUUUAUUUUUCUCCUAGUGGACAGUAUUUUCAGGGUAUACAGAGAUUCUGUGCUAUACUUGUAGUAUUCAUGAUCCAUCCAAACCAAGGCAUGCAAAUUAUUUUAAUGUUUUCUUCCACCAAUAUUUCCUAACGCUUUAUGACACUUUAUGACGAUCCGUCCAGCUUGGUUUUAUCAUUGUAACCAUCUAGUCCUUCGGUGCUUGUUAGAUGCAUUUCCGAGCAAUAUGCUCCAGCAUUUAGCACAUAGUGUACAAAUGUGUAAUUUGUAGACCAACAUACAAUGUAUAAGGACUUGCGUACAAUCAAGCACACUGUGUUACAAUAACACAGACUAUCUUUACAAUUAUUUGAAUACCAUUUAAAGAUUUUCUUGUUCUGUCUUUUGAUUUUCAUCACUUCUGAAGACUGUAUUAUGAAUUUACAAUUACAAUAUAUUUUUCAUGUUUAUUGUUUGCAAUAUUUCAGAAAAUGUAAAAUACAUGUAAAUCAUGUUCAUUUACACUUAAUUUUGUUAAUGUAAGGAAUAUUUAUUGUUUAUUUGUACAUAAUGUUAAUUUAUGUCUCCUUUGAGUACAAAUAAAAUAUGGUAC
rnacentral:sRNA from 1 species